rnacentral:rRNA from 1 species
UGCCAGCAGCCGCGGUAAUACGGAGGAUCCAAGCGUUAUCCGGAUUUAUUGGGUUUAAAGGGUGCGUGGGCGGCUCUAUAAGUCAGUGGUGAAAGCCCCGAGCUCAACUUGGGAACUGCCAUUGAAACUGGUCUUCUUGAAUAUAGUUGAGGCAGGCGGAAUACAACAUGUAGCGGUGAAAUGCAUAGAUAUGUUGUAGAACACCAAUUGCGAAGGCAGCUUGCUAAACUAUUAUUGACGCUGAGGCACGAAAGCGUGGGGAGCGAACAGGAUUAGAUA